CGCGACAAGCAGGUGCUGCUGCCGAUCGUCGCUGGCACAGAGCCGAUUGAGGCGUCCAUCCCCAUCGACUUCCUCCGCCGCGCCGGCGCCGAUGUCACCGUCGCUUCCGCAGGCGACGCCCUUCUCGUCGAAAUCAUGUACGGCGUCAAAAUAAUGGCCGACGAGCUCCUGGCUGACUGCGCCGCCGCUUCCUACGACCUCAUCGUCCUCCCCGGUGGCGUUCCUGGCGCUGCAAAUCUUGGUGCUUGUGCGACGUUGGAGGGCAUGGUGAGGAAGCACGUGGAGAAGGGAGGACUCUACGCCGCCAUAUGCGCUGCACCGCCGCUGGCGUUGGCGUCCUGGUGUCUACUCGACGGACACAAGGCUACGGGUCAUCCAUGGUUCGUGGAGAAGUUCCCUCCCGAGGUGACCGCCGUGGACGCGAACGUGGUGGUGGACGGCAAUGCCGUGACGGGCACUGGGCCGGCAACGUCGAUGGAGUUUGUGCUGGCCUUGGUGGAGCAGCUCUAUGGGAAGGAGAAGGUCGAGCAGAUCGCUAAACCAAUGCUAGUGAGAUACGAAGGUGGCUACAGCAUGAACGAACUCAACUCGGUCCAGUGGCAUUGCAGCGGCACACCCAAGGUUCUUCUUCCACUAGGCAACGGCAUUGAGGAGAUGGAGGCGAUAAUAAUCGUCGACGCGCUGCGCAGAGCCAACGCGGACGUCGUCGUCGCGUCCGCCGAGGACGGUGUCGUGGUCACCGCGCGACACGGGACGAGGAUCGUGGCCGACGUGAUGCUGGACGAGGCCGCCGAUCGUGCGCCCUUCGAUCUGAUCAUCGUGCCGGGCGGCAUGCCGGGCGCGAAGACGCUGGGCGGCUGUGAGCAGCUCGUCGCUCUGCUGAAGAAGCAGGCGGAAGCGAACAGGCCGUACGGCGCGAUCGGCGCCGCCACCGCCCACGUGCUCGAGCCCCAUGGCCUGCUCAAGGGCAAGAAGGCGACGACGUGCGCAUCCAUGGCCGGGCUGCUCGCGGACGACAGCGAGUGCGAGAACAGGGUGGUGGUUGACGGGAACGUGAUCACGAGCAGGAGCCCCGGCACCGCCAUGGAGUACGCGGUGGCCGUCGUCGAGGAGGCGCGGCGACUGGCGGAAGGCCUGCUCUUCUUGGGCUGA
rnacentral:rRNA from 1 species